rnacentral:rRNA from 1 species
UACGUAGGGGGCAAGCGUUGUCCGGAUUUAUUGGGCGUAAAGAGCGUGUAGGCGGCCUGACAAGUCUGCUGUGAAAACUCGAGGCUCAACCUCGAGAUGUCGGCGGAAACUGUCUGGCUAGAGUCCGGAAGAGGAGAGUGGAAUUCCUGGUGUAGCGGUGAAAUGCGCAGAUAUCAGGAGGAACACCAAUAGCGAAGGCAGCUCGCUGGGACGGUACUGACGCUAAGGAGCGAAAGCGUGGGGAGCGAACAGG